AACGUAGGUGGCGAGCGUUAUCCGGAUUUACUGGGCGUAAAGGGUGUGCAGGCGGCUUUCCAAGUGGUGUAUGAAAUCGCCCGGCUCAACCGGGCGGGGUUAUGCCAGACUGGGAAGCUCGAGUGCGGGAGAGGGGCGUGGAAUUCCGGGUGUAGUGGUGAAAUGCGUAGAGAUCCGGAGGAACCCCAGAGGCGAAGGCGGCGCCCUGGCCCGCAACUGACGCUCAGACACGACAGCAUGGGGAGCGAACGGG
rnacentral:rRNA from 1 species